rnacentral:misc_RNA from 1 species
ACAAACUUGGUCAUUUAGAGGAAGUAAAAGUCGUAACAAGGUUUCCGUAGGUGAACCUGCGGAAGGAUCAUUAGUAGUACUUACGGGAGGGAAGCGCUUGUCGCGACCUGACCGACCCACACCUUGGCCUGGGAUGGCUGUUGGGCGUUUGCCUGGCGGACAUGCCUUGCCUUUCAACUUUUGUUUGACGGAACAUGGCUGCGCAAGCGGCUAUUUGGGAAGGAGUAGUAGGGCUGCGCAAGCGGACUCUAUGUAAUGUGGAUACAACCUUUAACAAUGGAUCUCUUGGCUCCUGCAUCGAUGAAGAACGCAGC